rnacentral:pre_miRNA from 1 species
UUUUUUACAAAUCAGAAUGAUCUGAAAUUUGGAGCGUGUAUUCAUAAAAAAUAGGCGAAGCUACGAAAAAUAUCAAAAAAAUAUUUUACAUGAAAUAAAUUGACCAAAAUAUCCCCAAAAAAUUUCAGGGGUAUUUUGGUCAAUUUAUUUUUUGCUACUCACUUUUUAUAUAUUUUUAUUAGGUGCACACUAAGAUGCACACACGCUCCAAGUUUUAGAUCAUUCCGAUUUGUAGAAAA